CCCAAUCUCCCAAUUCAUCACCACCAGCUCCCCUUUCCCCCCUUGGUGUCCAUACGUUUGUUCUCUACAUCUGUGUCUCUAUUUCUGCCCCGCAAACCGGUUCAUCUGUACCGUUUUUCUAGGUUCCACAUCCAUGCGUUAAUAUACGAUAUUUGUUUUUCUCUUUCUGACUUACUUCACCGUGGUUCUGAUUUAAUUGGUCAGUUUUUUAAAAGCUCCCCAGGUGAUUCAGUGGGCAGCAACCUUUGAGAACCGCUGGCAGGAGAAAGGGGAAAGCUGAUGGCUGUGGAGGAUCGGUGCCACUAGCGACUUGCCGUGCUUUUCCAGGCAUGGCAAGGGCGGUGGGAACAGCAACAGGGAGGCCGCGGAAGACCCAGUGACAGGACAGUGACCGUCGGGGUUUCCUGCCCGCUGGUGUGCGCGGUUGGACAGACACCGGCUGCGGAGGGACGCGGGGUAGCAGGCUUGUUCUCAGGAAGGAACCCCGUUGGUCCGGGUGCCGAGAGGGAAGCGCGGGCCUGGGCGCGAGCUGCAGGAGCUGAGUCACGGCCGACUGCUGGGUGCGUGGCCACAUGGCCCCAGGCGGAAGAGUGCGUCCCUUUCCUGAACCUGGCGUGUCUCUUGAGGAAGCCAAAGAGACAAAAGCCAGGGAGCGGUGGCUUCUGUUCUACAAAGCACACUACUCGUAACCCAUAACUGAGGUCACCCCAGCACUCGCACAGCCCUGAGCAGGAACCACCGUCCGUCCGCCACCCCCAUGCCACCUCCAAAGGGAUCAUGAUUUUGAGGCUGGAGGCAAAGCUCCGCGACAGGCUUGCAGUGACAUGGUCCAGGAAGGUUCCUCUAGAGCUGUCCCAUGUCCCCACACCUGCCUGAGUUUCAGGGCCUGUGAACCUGCUCUUGAAAUGCGUCCCUUUGAGCUCGAGUCCGCGAAGCCCCUCAGGAAUUGGAGUGAUGGCAGUGACUGGCCGUGUGCCGUGGCCGCGGGGAUGGCUAGGUGAGGCCUAUGGCCUGGGAAGAAGUCAUCCCAGCGUGCGAGGAGGGAGGAGCGGGGUGCUGGGACUUUCUGCGGAGAUCGCUGCUGCCGCCGUGAUCUGUUGUGGAGCAGUGGCUGGGACUCGGGCUCUGAAGCCUCCGAGCUGGGUCUGAGUGGCUAUGCCUCGUACUACUGUGUGGCCUGGGGUGUCCCGUGGCCUCUGGGGGCCCAGUGUCCUCAUCUGUCCUCGGGGAUACUGAGAGCGACCUCGUGGCUAAUGGUUAAAUAAGCUACUGUUGGUAGUGUGUCUGUCACUGAGUAGGUGCUCUGCAAAUGGAAGACGUUAUUGCUGUUAUCACACAAAUUAUAGCCAAAAAAUAAGUCAGUGACGAUGACUAGCCCGCUGUUCCGUCUGAAAUGGGUUACCGAUCUGGCGACCCUAUUUCUGGUGUCCCAGGGACGACCCCCCCCACCCCCCUACCCAGCCCUGCCGUCCUGCCGCCCAGCGUCUUUCUGGCUGUCCCCAGCCCUCCCUCCUCCCACCUCUGUCCCGGCCUGGCCCCAGCUUCCUGUCACCUGGACUCCAUCCAGUCUGAAAGGGCAAGAGAGCACGCGGCGCAACCAGGAGGACGCAGCCCCUGGAACGCCCGCCCUUCCCUGUAUCCUAUGUUUGUCUGCUUCCAACUCUUGGCCGUCUUGGGUCUCCAGCUGCUUCUCGCUUCCUAUCCCUUUUUUCUAACUUUUCUCUCUCUCCCCAUUCCGUGGUUCCCCGUGGCUCUCAUUAAACUCUAAUUAAACGAUGCAGCAGGUGGCAAUGACGACACCCUCUCCCAUCCAAGUGCUCCUCAAAGGGUUGUGCACGACACACCGGAGA